GGCGCCAUAGCCAAGUGGUAAGGCGAAGCUCUGCAAAAGCUUUAUCCCUAGUUCGACUCUAGGUGGCGCCUCCA
rnacentral:tRNA from 2 species